AAGGGCCAUCACAGACCUUUUCAAGAAUGUUGAGGUUCCCUCUACAGAUUUCUUUCUCUGGAUAUUGAUGAAAUUGACGUCUCUAGAUCAUCCCAGGGUGGCUGAGUAGAUUUUAAUUGAUGUAUUGACUCAAAUAUUCCAACUUACCCAUGCCUUUGACUGUCUUUCUCAGCAUUAAACCAAGGCAGGUCUGGCAUUUCUAAGCCAUUCACUGUGGGUCACCUUUGGUUCAUGUGUUCCUCCUCACCUUGCAGACUGUUAGUGCUUUUCAUGACUCCCCCAGCAGCAGUGUUAAAUGACACACCUGGGAUUUCCUUUGUGGCUUAGCAGUAACGAACCCACUUGUGUCUGUGAAGAUUCGGGUUUGGUCUCUGGCCUCGCUCCGUGGGUUAAGGAUCCAGCAUUGCUGUGAGCUGUGGUGUAGGCCUGAAGUUAAAGCUCUGAUUGAACACCUAGCCUUGGAUCUUCCAUAUGCCACCAGUGUGGCCCUAAAAAAUACAAGAAAAAAAAGAAAAAGAAAAAGCAGGAUCUCUGCUUUUGUGUCCAUACCAACAAGUCAAGCCUAGUUCAAAAUUUUUUUCUUACUAUGAUAUCCAUUCUCAUAUAUAUUUCAUGGAUUUCUGUCUGUAUAAAUUAGAGAACUCAAGGUGUUAUUUUGGAGUAUAGGGCACCCCUCUUGUGUCACACUGUAUCUCGCUUUUAGGGGUCUGCUGGGACUGUUGCCUGGUUAAAGAAUGAAGAGCACCUUGGGGAGUCCAUGGUGGGUCCUGAGGAGAAUCAGCAUUGCCUUUCAUGACAACUGUUAUAGGGGAGCUCAUGACAGGUUUUUCAGUCAAGGAAGGGUUAAUCCUUCAGCCAGAGGGUGAGUGGCCAUGUCCACUGGGGUGGAGAGACCUCUUCACUGACAAAGGUCAUCAUCUUCUCUCAGUUCCUUUUUUGCUGCUUCUUAAGCAUCCAAUGAACCAAAGCAGAAUAUGGAUUUCAUUCAUCAUUUUUCUGUCUUACAUCAUCAUCUUCUAUCAAGCCCUUUUACUUAUAACUCCUAAAUAUUUCUUGAACUGUUCUCGAUUUUCCAUUUUAAUUUGGUUUUCCUAGAUGCAGACUCUUGGAACAAAUGUUUAUGAAAGUAAUUUGUAAGUGGAAGUUAGGAGGGAAACUGCCUGUGAGAGGAGGAAAAGGGGGAUAUACUUGGCUUCAGCCUGGAUACGUGGAACUCUGCAGUAUAUACUGUAUGGCAGAGCUCUUUCCAGUGAUGGGCAUGAGACAAGGCCUUUUCCACCAUGCUUCAAUCAUUCAUUGCCCACUGGUGCAAACUUGGAUAUGUGGGCAUGAUCCCUAAGUGGGGGUAGUUCCACUUUUCUCUAAUGCAGUCAUCCAGAAAGGAAAGGGCAGUGGGCUGUCAGCAGUGCAGACACACAGCAGCUGUUCCUGGGGCCCAGUGAUUGAGAUCUGACCAGAAGCAGCUGUUUUCACCCCCAUUCCGCAUCAUCACUGGCAAAGCUCAAGCCUCCAGUGUUCUUUUACAUUGAAAUCAUUACAGUAACCUCUAGGUCCCCUUUGCUGCAUGUUUGGUUCCUUCAAUUUAUUUUCCUUAUACUGAAGCCAGAAUUGUCAUUCUAAAACUCAAAGCUAAUGUGAUAAUUUUAUAGUUUAAAAAUAUGUAUGCUGGAAACUUUCCCUAGAGUACUUAGCAUUAAACCUUCAAACAAUUAUGAGACACUCCUUGACCUUCUCUGUUCCUUUCUCUCCAACUUCAUAAUGUACUAUUGUCCCUUUAUGACCUAAGUGUCCAGCAUUUUGCCUGGCAUACAGUGGACAUUUGGGAAUUAACUUUUGAAUAAACAGUUGAUUUAACAAGCACAGGAAUAUUUAAUUUAUUAGGACUUCUGCAUUCUUAUUUUCACCUGCUUACCUUUGAUAUAUAUUCCAUCUCACAGCAACACUGUUACUCUCCCUGAUGGUUAUUCAUUCUUCUGAUGUAGUUAUCAAUUGCAUCCCAUUUUGAUGUCUUUUCAUCCAAUAAAAUUUCUGACCCACCAUGUCUGUGUUGGGUGUCUUCCCAACAGACUUUUAUGACACACUGUGUUUUAUUAUCUUACAGAUUAUAACACUGUGAUGUCAUUUUCUACUCCUUUGUUGAGGUCCCUCUGUUAAAGCAUCACUCAGGUUUUUUUCUUUAUUCAGUACUAAAGCCCCAGCAACUAUUGAUGUGCCUGCUAGAAUCCUUGAACACAAAAUAUGUGUUUUUUAAUGAAUGAAAAACAAAAGCAAUGAAUAGAAUAUAUUUACUCUAAAAUUGCAGAAAUUGCGUAUAUGAAGCUACAUAUGUCAAAAACAGCUUUCCAUGAUGUAAUGUUACCAAAAAGCCAACUGAUGAACAUAGAAAUAGAGGAAAAACCCACAUUAACAGUGUGAUGAAAUCUUGCUAAGGGCUGGGAGGUUAUCAGGUAAACAAUUUCUUCAUAAAAUGACACACACAGAUUCCAUUUUUUCCUUAUUCCUAGUUUAAGCAGUAAGGAAAACAAAUUGUGGUUUCAGAAGAGAUAUAAAUAGAAGUCUCAGAUAAAGGUAGAAAGAAUUUCCUAGGCUCAAGUACUUUUUCUAUAUUUUAUAAUAUUAUUCCCACUUUAUACUUAUAUUUAUUCAUUUGUUAAUUGUGAUAACCCACAAAUAUUCUACUUGAUCAAUCUCAUGUUUUCAAGUGGGCAUAUACUUUCUGAGUAUGACUGUUUUUGUUGUUUCUUCUUGUAAUUACGGCCCCUGUAGCAUAGGAAAGUUCCUGGACCAGGGAUGGAAUCCCAGCCACAGCUGUAGCAAUGCCUGGUCCUCUAAUCCACUGAACUGGGGAUCAAACUUGUGCCUCCUCAGUGACCCUGAGCCACUGCAGUCAGAUUGUUUACCUACUGUGCCAGAGAGGGAACUUCAAUAUGAUUGUUUAAUAUAUUGAAAUUCAUAACAAAAUAUUAAUUUAAUGAAUUUAAUAAAAUUCCUGUCAGACAAAAUAUUACUUAUUUUUUACUAUAAGAUGGUGACAAGGACAAUAUGAAAUGAUUUUUAGUGAUAUAAGGAAAUUUGGAAAUAUGAUGUAAUAUUCAUUAUUUAUGUUUUCGAGAUUAAAUGGCCCAGAUCUUUUAUAUGCCUAAAGGAGUUACAAAGCACAAUGUACAGAAAAUAUCUAACCAUCAACCAUGAUAUUUGAAAAUGGACAGAUUGACUAAUAAAAUUUUUGGAAUUUAGAUAUAUGUAAUCAACACAUUAUGUAAUAGUAUAUAUGCUAAAAGAUAUGCAUAUAUAGUGUAACAUCAUUCAUGCUAUGAAAAAAUUUUAUUUCUUCCUAUGAUGAUAUAUAUGUAAUAAGUUAGUUUAUUUAUUACAUAUGUAUAUGGUCCAGCACAGUCAUGCAGUCCAUUGCUAAUAACAGUGACUAUUCUAACCAUGUUACCUUUUUGUCAUCAUUUCCUGACAGUGUGUCAUAGCAGUAAAGAUGAUACUCUGAGCGAUCAGUGAUAUUCUGAUUACUGGUUCUUCAGUAUUUCUGUUUUGGAACUUACUCAUUUCUGUUUGUUCUCUCAGCUCUUAGUGGCAAUAAUAGCAGUGUCUACCUACCUAACUCUUUGGAUUGUAGCAGAGAUUAUUGUUAAACCUCAGUAUAUACUUUUAUUGACUUUAUGUUGUUGCAUUAGAAUAAAAACUUCAGGGAGUUCCAAUCAUGGCUCAGAGCUUAAUGAAUCCUACUAGGAUCCAUGAGGUUUUGGGUUCAAUCCCUGGCCUUGCUCAGUGGGUUAAGGAAUCCAGCAUUGCAUUGGUGUAGGUUGCAGACACGGCUUGAAUUCCGCAUUGCUGUGGCUCUGCUGUAGGCCGGCGGCUACUGCUCCGAUUAGAUCCCAAGCCUGGGAACCUCAAUAUAUCACAGGUACAACCCUAGAAAAGGGAAAAAGACAAAAAAAAAAGAAUAAAAAUUUUGCAUCCAGAUGAAUUGAUGAAUUUAGCUAUAGUGUGCCCCAAUUUGAAGGAAUUUUCCAAAUAUUUAGAGAAUAGUCCUGGGCUAAUUAUUAUUUUUUUUUGUUUUGUGUGUUUGUUUAAAUUUUCUUGCACCCAUUGUAAUUCCCCUUUUGACAGAAUAUAUGCUUUCUAGUGGUUUUUAUGUUCAUUCUCUCACAGGUAUUAUUUUCUGAGAAUAACAAAAAUGUCCUUCUGUCUCUUGAUAUGUUAACUCAAAUUAGAGCCCUAGGCACAUUUCUAUUUCACUUGAAAUGGCUUUCCCACUAAAGAGUUUCCUAAAGGCAUUUUUUCAGCUGGGCAUUUCUCAAGGUAUAGAUUAAGGGGUUUAACAUGGGAGUUAUCAUAGUGUAGAAUACAGCAACUGCUUUAUCAAUGGGUAAAGUAACUGCUGGUUGCAUGUACUCGAAUAUGCAGGGCACAAAGAAGAUGACAACUGCUGCGAUGUGGGAGACACAGGUAGAGAGGGCUUUGCAUCUGGCCUGCAAGCUUUGGGCCCUUAUGGUUUGAAGGAUGACCCCAUAGGAUACAACCAAGAGUAGGAAGUUUGACAGACAGAUGAAUCCACUGUUAGCAGCAACAAAGAGCCCUAGAGUGUGGGUAUCGGUGCAGGCCAGAUUAAGCAAAGGAAUCAGGUCACAUAUAAAGUGAUCUAUGAUGUUAGGACCACAGAAGGGCAAUCUAAAGAUGAAAAGGAUCUGUGUGAAUCCAUGGAGAAAGCCUCCCACCCAUGACACUUCCACCAGCAGGCCACAUAGCUGCCAAUUCAUGAUGGUUGCAUAGCACAAGCCCUUGCAGAUGGCCACAUAUCAGUCAUAGGCCAUCACAAUCAGCAGGAUGAUAUCAGCCCCUCCAAAGAAAUGUUGCCCAAAGAUUUGCAUCAUGCAUGCAUUGAAGGUGCUUGUUUUCUUUUCAUAGAGCGAAUCUACAACCAGUUUAGGGGUUUCCACACAGGAAUGGCAAGCACUGAUGAAAGAGAGAUGAGCCAGGAAAUAGUACAAGGGGCACCCCAUUAAUGGGCUGGUAGUGAUGGUGACCAUGGUGAGCACAUUUCCCCCAGAGAGACAGUGUAGAUGACCAAAAACACAACAAAUAUGACUUUCUGCACCUGUGGAUUCUGUGUGAGUCCCAGUAGAAUGAAAUCCAUUACAUCAUUCCUAGUUUCCAUGUAGUUCAUGUUAUUAACCACAUUACCUGGAAAAAAAGUCCUUUUUUAGCUCAAUCUUGAGUUUAUUAAGCCUAUUCCUCUAAUAAAUAACAAAGGCCUAUAUUUUAUUGGACUCUAAAUUCUUGUAAGAUUUUCCUUGAGAUUAAAUAUUUGGUCUAAUCUCUUGAAGAUUUAUCAAUUGUGAAUGUAUGAGAAAAUGAGAUUAUUAGGGUCCAUAUGAAAAUAUACAUGUAAGGCUUUUAUUGUAUGAGUGUUAGCAGAAGAAGGAUCUGAGAGAGAUGGAAUCUUGUGUACAAGUAUAGUGAAGAGUUUUGUGUGACAUGUCUUCUGUAAAUGUGUUAAACAAUGGCAAUGACAGGAUCAAAAGUGCUGCUAAGCCCGGCUUGGACAAAUGACCAAGAUAGUCACAUACUAUCCAUCCUCAGGGUCAGGGAGACCCCAAAUACACAUGACCUCUAGGUAAGAAAGGGAAGGGGUGCCAGGCCAUAACAAGUCGAGAUUAUCUUUCCACCAUGCCUUGCUUUAGAAUCCAUCUUGGUCCAAAGAUGUGCACACAGAUCACAGGAGGGCCCAGGGUCUGUUCAGGUGUGAAAGAUAAAACAAGAUAAUUGCUCAAAGGAAGACAAAGACCUGGAGUAACUGUCCUAUAUAAGUGACUUAUAUCAUCUCUCUGGUGCACUCCACAUUCAGGAGGAUGCUCCUUUGGGUGUGGAUUACUGCUUUGCAUUCGAGGACUUCUCUGUGUGCUCUCCCAUGUGUUGCACUGCGUUUCCAACAAUACAUUUUGUACCUGUCUUUAUGGUCUUUGCCUCCUUGAAACAUUCCUGCUUUCAAGAGAGAACAAGAAUCAGGACAAUUCUGCUUUCAGCGUCUAGCUAGUCUACUGACUGGCAUUCCUGGUGUUCAUCCAGGCUGCCCAAAUUCAACUCCUGAACAGAGAAGUAAGACCUCACUCCAAGCCAUCACUCACUGCUGUCUCUCUGAGAUCAGUUCCACUCAAAGUUCAAAGUCCUAUGGUAAUUUAGUCAAUCAGGAAAUAUCUUGGACAUUAUUCAAGUAUCUCAAUAUGUGAAGCACACUCGUAACAUUCUGGGCAAAAACUUAAAAAUAAACAAAACAAAAACAUUAUGCAUAGUGACAGUGCAGAUGUGUAGUAUUUUUAAAGCAAAUAAUCAUUUUACCACUAUAUUAUAAUGAAAUGAUAACAAUCAUUAUAUUAUUAUCUACAAUUUGGAGGAAACUUAGGUCUCUCCAUCCCCACUCUGAGGACAUCCACCUACUGCUCUGAAGAUAAUAUUGGACCUUGAACAUUCUAUUGCAUGGGCUGAUAACUGUGAGCUACAAACCAAAUAUGGCCUACCAUUUUCAUAAAUAAAAUUUUAUUGGAAGAGUUAUGUUUAUUGAUUUGUGUAUUGCCUAUGGCUGCAUUCAUACUAUAGGAUGCAGAAUUGAGUAGCUGAAAUCAGAUAGAAUUCAAUAUUUGAAAUUUUAGCCCACAAAAACAAAAA
rnacentral:lncRNA from 9 species